GGGUAUAAAGUUUAAAUUUAUAAUAGAAAGUGUAUUUAAUUUAAAAUAUUACAAAACAAUAGUUACGUAAAAGGGAAUGGUUUUCUAUUUUAAUAAGAGAGUCAAAAUAUUAAGAUAGUACAAUUAAAGAGUUCAAAUGGGUAUAAAAUAUAAACUUAUAAUAUGGUGAAGCCUGGGUAUGGUUUCUGCUCAUGGAUCACUUGAAGGGGAAUGAAAGAGGGUUGUCCGUGGAGGCUACUAGCACUCUGCUGGACUAUGGACGUUUCUCUGAAGCUAUGGAAUGGCGACAUAGAUGAUUUUCUACUCAAAGACACAAGAUUACCAUGUAUUGUCUUAGAAGGUUUUCACUAAGAAAUUCCUUCCCUAAGGUGAGAUCAAUGUUCCUUCAGCUAAACAGAGAAAACAAGAAACGAGACAACUCUUUGCUGUAAGUUUUUGAUUGAAAAGUUGAAUGGUUUCUCUCAAAGACUGUGUACAAAGUAAAUAGAAAACUCCCAGCUACCCUAAUCAUAAACCGAGAUGGUUUAAUCUAAUUCCUAAUCCUGAUCCCAAUUCGAAAUUGGUUUAUUAAAUCCUAAUCCCACCCGAAAUUGGUUUACUAAUCCUAACUGUCUUUGGUUUAAUUUAAAUGAAAUCAAUUACACAGAAAUAACAUUAAACCAACAGGCUGGUUUAUCUUGAAUCUCUCCUUUUGGUUUAUUCCCCAUGUUUUUGGCUAAGUGUUGGAGACUCUCUUCUUGUGCUUUCAACCUUGAUCGAGUAACUAGUCCACUCCACACAGCUUCAAGUUCCUCUUCCAAGUCAGUCUCUUUGGCAGCACCUUUAUCCCCUUGCUCAGGUUCAAUCAGUUCUUCCUCGUCAGAUUCACUCAGCUCUCCAAUGUCUCGACUCAUGACUGCACCAUAAUAGAAGGUGUAUUUAAUUUAAAAUAUUACA
rnacentral:lncRNA from 1 species